rnacentral:rRNA from 1 species
UACGAAGGGGGGCUAGCGUUGUUCGGAAUCACUGGGCGUAAAGCGCACGUAGGCGGAUCUUUUAAGUCAGGGGUGAAAUCCCGAGGCUCAACCUCGGAACUUGCCUUUGAUACUGGGGAUCUCGAGUCCGGGAGAGGUGAGUGGAACUGCGAGUGUAGAGGUGAAAUUCGUAGAUAUCGCAAGAACACCAGUGGCGAAGGCGGCUCACUGGCCCGGUACUGACGCUGAGGUGCGAAAGCGUGGGGAGCAAACAGG